rnacentral:rRNA from 1 species
GGGUUGUGAGGUUAAGCGACUAAGCGUACACGGUGGAUGCCCUGGCAGUCAGAGGCGAUGAAGGACGUGCUAAUCUGCGAUAAGCGUCGGUAAGGUGAUAUGAACCGUUAUAACCGGCGAUUUCCGAAUGGGGGAAACCCAGUGUGUUUCGACACACUAUCAUUAACUGAAUCCAUAGGUUAAUGAGGCGAACCGGGGGAACUGAAACAUCUAAGUACCCCGAGGAAAAGAAAUCAACCGAGAUUCCCCCAGUAGCGGCGAGCGAACGGGGAGCAGCCCAGAGCCUGAAUCAGUAUGUGUGUUAGUGGAAGCGUCUGGAAAGGCGCGCGAUACAGGGUGACAGCCCCGUACACAAAAAUGCACAUAUUGUGAGCUCGAUGAGUAGGGCGGGACACGUGGUAUCCUGUCUGAAUAUGGGGGGACCAUCCUCCAAGGCUAAAUACUCCUGACUGACCGAUAGUGAACCAGUACCGUGAGGGAAAGGCGAAAAGAACCCCGGCGAGGGGAGUGAAAAAGAACCUGAAACCGUGUACGUACAAGCAGUGGGAGCACGCUUAGGCGUGUGACUGCGUACCUUUUGUAUAAUGGGUCAGCGACUUAUAUUCUGUAGCAAGGUUAACCGAAUAGGGGAGCCGAAGGGAAACCGAGUCUUAACUGGGCGUUAAGUUGCAGGGUAUAGACCCGAAACCCGGUGAUCUAGCCAUGGGCAGGUUGAAGGUUGGGUAACACUAACUGGAGGACCGAACCGACUAAUGUUGAAAAAUUAGCGGAUGACUUGUGGCUGGGGGUGAAAGGCCAAUCAAACCGGGAGAUAGCUGGUUCUCCCCGAAAGCUAUUUAGGUAGCGCCUCGUGAAUUCAUCUCCGGGGGUAGAGCACUGUUUCGGCAAGGGGGUCAUCCCGACUUACCAACCCGAUGCAAACUGCGAAUACCGGAGAAUGUUAUCACGGGAGACACACGGCGGGUGCUAACGUCCGUCGUGAAGAGGGAAACAACCCAGACCGCCAGCUAAGGUCCCAAAGUCAUGGUUAAGUGGGAAACGAUGUGGGAAGGCCCAGACAGCCAGGAUGUUGGCUUAGAAGCAGCCAUCAUUUAAAGAAAGCGUAAUAGCUCACUGGUCGAGUCGGCCUGCGCGGAAGAUGUAACGGGGCUAAACCAUGCACCGAAGCUGCGGCAGCGACACUAUGUGUUGUUGGGUAGGGGAGCGUUCUGUAAGCCUGUGAAGGUGUGCUGUGAGGCAUGCUGGAGGUAUCAGAAGUGCGAAUGCUGACAUAAGUAACGAUAAAGCGGGUGAAAAGCCCGCUCGCCGGAAGACCAAGGGUUCCUGUCCAACGUUAAUCGGGGCAGGGUGAGUCGACCCCUAAGGCGAGGCCGAAAGGCGUAGUCGAUGGGAAACAGGUUAAUAUUCCUGUACUUGGUGUUACUGCGAAGGGGGGACGGAGAAGGCUAUGUUGGCCGGGCGACGGUUGUCCCGGUUUAAGCGUGUAGGCUGGUUUUCCAGGCAAAUCCGGAAAAUCAAGGCUGAGGCGUGAUGACGAGGCACUACGGUGCUGAAGCAACAAAUGCCCUGCUUCCAGGAAAAGCCUCUAAGCAUCAGGUAACAUCAAAUCGUACCCCAAACCGACACAGGUGGUCAGGUAGAGAAUACCAAGGCGCUUGAGAGAACUCGGGUGAAGGAACUAGGCAAAAUGGUGCCGUAACUUCGGGAGAAGGCACGCUGAUAUGUAGGUGAAGUCCCUCGCGGAUGGAGCUGAAAUCAGUCGAAGAUACCAGCUGGCUGCAACUGUUUAUUAAAAACACAGCACUGUGCAAACACGAAAGUGGACGUAUACGGUGUGACGCCUGCCCGGUGCCGGAAGGUUAAUUGAUGGGGUUAGCCGCAAGGCGAAGCUCUUGAUCGAAGCCCCGGUAAACGGCGGCCGUAACUAUAACGGUCCUAAGGUAGCGAAAUUCCUUGUCGGGUAAGUUCCGACCUGCACGAAUGGCGUAAUGAUGGCCAGGCUGUCUCCACCCGAGACUCAGUGAAAUUGAACUCGCUGUGAAGAUGCAGUGUACCCGCGGCAAGACGGAAAGACCCCGUGAACCUUUACUAUAGCUUGACACUGAACAUUGAGCCUUGAUGUGUAGGAUAGGUGGGAGGCUUAGAAGUGUGGACGCCAGUCUGCAUGGAGCCGACCUUGAAAUACCACCCUUUAAUGUUUGAUGUUCUAACGUUGACCCGUAAUCCGGGUUGCGGACAGUGUCUGGUGGGUAGUUUGACUGGGGCGGUCUCCUCCUAAAGAGUAACGGAGGAGCACGAAGGUUGGCUAAUCCUGGUCGGACAUCAGGAGGUUAGUGCAAUGGCAUAAGCCAGCUUGACUGCGAGCGUGACGGCGCGAGCAGGUGCGAAAGCAGGUCAUAGUGAUCCGGUGGUUCUGAAUGGAAGGGCCAUCGCUCAACGGAUAAAAGGUACUCCGGGGAUAACAGGCUGAUACCGCCCAAGAGUUCAUAUCGACGGCGGUGUUUGGCACCUCGAUGUCGGCUCAUCACAUCCUGGGGCUGAAGUAGGUCCCAAGGGUAUGGCUGUUCGCCAUUUAAAGUGGUACGCGAGCUGGGUUUAGAACGUCGUGAGACAGUUCGGUCCCUAUCUGCCGUGGGCGCUGGAGAACUGAGGGGGGCUGCUCCUAGUACGAGAGGACCGGAGUGGACGCAUCACUGGUGUUCGGGUUGUCAUGCCAAUGGCACUGCCCGGUAGCUAAAUGCGGAAGAGAUAAGUGCUGAAAGCAUCUAAGCACGAAACUUGCCCCGAGAUGAGUUCUCCCUGACUCCUUGAGAGUCCUGAAGGAACGUUGAAGACGACGACGUUGAUAGGCCGGGUGUGUAAGCGCAGCGAUGCGUUGAGCUAACCGGUACUAAUGAACCGUGAGGCUUAACCUUACAACGCCGAAGGUGUUU